UAAGAUGUAAAAAGUUAUCCGGGAAGAAGGGUUCAAUUGGUGGAGUGGAUCUUUAAAGGUAAGCUCGGAUAUUUGUUACUAAGUUCAAUUGACGUCGUCCCUAAGGUAACGUUGCAUACUGUCCAAUCCAUCGUGUAAAAGUUUAACUGGGGGAGCCAGCGUGAGAUCGCAUGGAAGAACAUUGGUGAAGGCAAAGAAGAUUGGUGGAUUGGGGUCAAGGACUUUAAGAGCAGACAAGCGGAUGCAAUCGUGGACAAAGUGUGUCGAUUAUGAGAAGGCUCAGGGAUAUGGAAUGAAUGGGUGCUAUUUGUUCCAGAGUUCAAUUGACGUUCCUCAGGUAACGUUGCAUAUACUGUCCAAUCCAUCGUGUAAAAAGUUUAUCUGGGGGAGCCAGCGUGAGAUCGCAUGGAAGAACAUGGUGAAGGCAAAGAAGAUUGGUGGAUUGGGGUCAAGGACUUUAAGAGCAAGCAAGUGGCUGCAAUUGUGGACAAAGUGUGUCGAUUAUUAGAAGGCUCAAGGAUCUGGAGUGAAUGGGUGCUAUUUGUUCCAGAGUUCAAUUGACGUUCCUCAGGUAACGUUGCAUAUACUGUCCAAUCCAUCGUGUAAAAAGUUUAUCUGGGGGAGCCAGCGUGAGAUCGCAUGGAAGAACAUGGUGAAGGCAAAGAAGAUUGGUGGAUUGGGGUCAAGGACUUUAAGAGCAAGCAAGUGGCUGCAAUCGUGGACAAAGUGUGUCGAUUAUGAGAAGGCUCAGGGAUCUGGAGUAAAUGGGUGCUAAAGAGGUAGGUUAAAAAUAGCUCAUUUGAUCAAAUCGGAUUCAGGUGUAAUGAUUCCUUUGUCUGACGUGCGACGCUUAAGCAACAGGAAUGCAUUAUGAGAUGUGUCGAUUGAGGGACGAAUCACAGCUUGAAUUGGAAGGGGGUGGGGAGCACUGCUACAAUGACUAAUGUGUACGACACACUGUGAAUGUGAAUGUUUUUAACUGAGUGUACGAAAAUAUAUAUAUUGAUAUAGCUUGUACACUUAAAUAUAUAUAAUCGUACCUAUAUAUGGAAUUAAUGAUAAACUUAUAAUAACCUCAG
rnacentral:lncRNA from 1 species